rnacentral:rRNA from 1 species
AGAGAUAGCUACUGGAAACGGUAGGUAAACUCUGAUAAGCCCGAGAGGGGAAAGUGGAAGGCAGCCUUGGGAUGGACCUACUAUCCAUCAGGUAGUUGGUGAGGUAAAGGCUUACCAAGCCGAUGACGGAUAACCGGUGUGAGAGCAUGUACGGUCACAAGGGCACUGAGACACGGGCCCUACUCCUACGGGAGGCAGCAGUGGGGAAUAUUGGACAAUGGGCGAAAGCCUGACCCAGCGACGCCGCGUGAAGGAAGAAGUCCUUCGGGAUGUAAACUUCUGAACUAAUCGAAUAAAAGGGUAGUGGACACACUACAGAAGAAGGUAGAUUAGGAAAAGUCCCGGCUAACUACGUGCCAGCAGCCGCGGUAAGACGUAGGGGGCGAGCGUUGCCCGGAAUCACUGGGUGUAAAGGGGACGUAGGCGGAUGAUCAAGUCAUCUGUGAAAAGAUUGCUCAACGAUUGGCUUGCGGAUGAAACUGGUCAUCUUGGGCGUAGCAGAGGUAGACGGAAUUACCUGAGUAGGGGUGAAAUCCGCAGAUACAGGUAAGAAGGCCGGUGAAGAAGUUGGUCUACUGGGC